UAGGGGGGACCUCAGUGGUACAGCCCUUGCCCAGCACACAGGCAGCCCUGGGUUCAAUCCCCAGCACUCAAA
rnacentral:tRNA from 1 species